AUCGACGCCAAGAAGUAUAUACGGCGGCGGCGGUCCGGCGGCGAUGUUGCUGCUCCAAAUCAGGUGCGGCGGCGGAGAAUGUGAAUUAGUAAUGACAAAGAGAUGUGAGAGCGCAUACUCAUCUGAGAGUUUGCCGGCGACGCGAGACCAAGGAUGUGAAGCGUGGUAAUUUACAAGGAGCAUCCCACAUGAGAUUGCUCCCGCACGGCGGCGGCAAUAACGAUGUACAACUGCUCACAGCUGAUAGGUAACUGGUUGACUGUCCUGGCGCGGUGGCGGGCAUGGCGACAUAAACGACACACAACGGAGUGAUACUGCUCCGUCGUGGCGGCAACGUACGGUUGCAAUAGAUAUGCUGGCACAACAAACUCCAUAGUGAGACAACGUGUUAGAACAUGGCCACAUGCAACGAUGGAGGAAGACAAUAGUGUAUAUGAUGAAUCAGUUGUACCAUUUUGCACAUUGAUGUGAUAUACUAAGAGAUAUACUUCAUACUAUGCUUUUUUUAGUUUGAA